rnacentral:rRNA from 1 species
CUAUUCAUCCACUGCAGGUUCACCCAAUAAGUUUGGAGUCUCUUCAGGCUGUGGACGAGGGAGGCGUUCAUCACGCCUAACAACGGCUUCACAUCGACUGAGGAGUGGUGGCUCACCUCCAGGAAAGGGAUCCCGAAGCCAAUGAGAAGAAACUUCGACACAAUCACCAUCCUUAUUCAUUAACGGGUUUGGAGGGAGCGCAAUGCGAGGAUAUUUGAUCAGGCGGCCAGCGCUGCAGAGAGGGUCCUUGAUCUUAUAAGAGAGGACAUAGCGACGUGGCGUGCCGCUGGAUGCAUUACUGACCUAGCAACAUAA